UGAGGAAUAUUGGACAAUGGGUGAGAGCCUGAUCCAGCCAUCCCGCGUGAAGGACUACAGCCCUAUGGGUUUUAAACUUCUUUUGUAUGGGGAUAAACCUAUCUACGUGUAGAUAGCUGAAGGUACCAUACGAAUAAGCAUCGGCUAACUCCGUGCCAGCAGCCGCGGUAAUACGGAGGAUGCGAGCGUUAUCCGGAUUUAUUGGGUUUAAAGGGUCCGUAGGCGGACUUAUAAGUCAGCGGUGAAAUCCUAUAGCUUAACUAUAGACCUGCCGUUGAUACUGUAAGUCUUGAAUAGUAUUGAAGUAGCCGGAAUGUGUAGUGUAGCGGUGAAAUGCAUAGAUAUUACACAGAACACCAAUUGCGAAGGCAGGUUACUAAAUACCGAUUGACGCUGAUGGACGAAAGCGUGGGGAGCGAACA
rnacentral:rRNA from 1 species